UAGAUCAACGGACUGACUACACAGACAGUCACACUACUAAUACUAUCACUAGGCCAUGGCAUGAGUGCGGAUGCAGAAAAUCGCUCGUAGAAUCUACUGGCGCAGACUUCUACUAGUAGUAGUAGUAGUAUCAGUAGUAUGGCGGUAGGACUAGGAGUAGAGCCAGAGGCUUGUCGUCGUGCUGUUUCCUGCCUUCGACCAGACUAUGUCAUCCUGAGUAUCUACACUGCAAGCGUUUCCUCGGCGAAGCAAGUUAAAAUUUAUUUGUGGCGAAGCAAGCUAGAAUUUAUUUGCACAAUCUUACUCUUUGCCUCUAAGUGACCAGAACAUAGUGAUCAGAACAGGCCGGCCGGUUAUUGAAGCGUGGCGCAUAGUCCAUAAAUAACGUAGUCAUGAAGGGAUGCCGCAGUUCGCUAUUUCUACCUUCAAAUGCUACAUCUGUUGAAGAGGAUAGGUUUCUAGCGGGUUCACGGAUUUAUUCAGACAUGGACUUGGAAGAAAGGUGACUAAGGAUUUCCGGACGAGACAGCAAGGACGGCCCAAGACUUUGUGUACGGUUGGCUCAUCUCAUAGUCUAACUGACAUACUUCGAUCAGUGCUUUCAAAGAGAACAUCUCCUCUCGCAGAUAGAGUCCUUCUAGACCAGAGAUAUCACCAUGAUCAACAGGGUCAAACGCUUCCAGCGGACAACAGUGGAUCACCUCAUUUCUCCCACUGAAGUGGUCCUAGCUUGAAGUGAUGUAUGACUUUCAAUUCUAUUGACUAGCCUUGAGGCAUGUACCAAACGUCAGCAUGUCUGUGAUAUCAAUACAUCACACUUACAUUUGAAAGCUAUAUGCUGGAAGGCAGUCAAGUGGGCUUUUCGUCAAACACAACCCUACCAAUAAAAUGAAGGCAACGGGCAGAGACCACUAAUGGUAGGGCCACACCAGGUGGCUGUGCCAGUGGGGAAGACCCAGUUCAACAAGGUGUUAUUUCAAGUUUGAUCGGAACAGCACCCUGGUCCAAAUCCUCAAUAUCAGUGAAUCUUACUGGUCCAUGUGGCUGCUGCCUUGACUCGUGAUGCCUACGAUUGGAUGCAAGCUGCACGAAGUAUGUUGCAAAGAAGAGUACAAUGGAUCUUGAACUUGGCACGAGAGGCGUGCACUUCGUUGAUAACAGCAGAACCUUUGCAUGACUAUCAUAACACUCUCCUUAUUGCAAUAUUUAGCCAAUGCUCCAUUUUGUUGUAGCAGCUACCACACAACUACAAGUAUGCAUUCAUUACCUGGCUGUCUUGUAUAAACUUGUGAAUGCAAUCACGUGAUGCUUUGUGCACAUAUGCUCCCAUACUUUA